UACGUAGGUGGCAAGCGUUGUCCGGAUUUAUUGGGUUUAAAGGGUGCGUAGGCGGUCUUCUAAGUCAGUUGUGAAAUACGGCAGCUUAACUGUCGAGGUGCAAUUGAUACUGGGAGACUUGAGUACUGAUGAGGUAGGCGGAAUGGACGGUGUAGCGGUGAAAUGCUUAGAUAUCGUCCAGAACACCGAUAGCGAAGGCAGCUUACUAAGGAGUAACUGACGCUGAGGCACGAAAGUGUGGGGAUCAAACAGG
rnacentral:rRNA from 1 species